UGGGGAAUCUUGCACAAUGGGGGCAACCCUGAUGCAGCGACGCCGCGUGAGCGAUGAAGCCCUUCGGGGUGUAAAGCUCUUUCGGCAGGAACGAUAAUGACGGUACCUGAAGAAGAAGCUGCGGCUAACUACGUGCCAGCAGCCGCGGUAAUACGUAGGCAGCAAGCGUUGUUCGGAGUUACUGGGCGUAAAGAGUGCGUAGGCGGUUCUCUAAGUUUGGUGUGAAAUCUCCCGGCUCAACUGGGAGGGUGCGCCGAAGACUGGAAAGCUUGAGUGUGGGAGAGGUAAGCGGAAUUCCUGGUGUAGCGGUGAAAUGCGUAGAUAUCAGGAGGAACACCGGUGGUGUAGACGGCUUACUGGACCACUACUGACGCUGAGGCACGAAAGCGUGGGGAGCAAACAGGAUUAGAUACCCGUGUAGUCC
rnacentral:rRNA from 1 species